GUAUAAGAGACAGCAGCCGCCACGGGAAUACAGAGGGUGCGAGCGUUAAUCGGAUUUACUGGGCGUAAAGCGUGCGUAGGCGGCUAAUUGAGUCGGAUGUGAAAUCCCCGAGCUUAACUUGGGAAUUGCAUUCGAUACUGGUUAGCUAGAGUGUGGGAGAGGAUGGUAGAAUUCCAGGUGUAGCGGUGAAAUGCGUAGAGAUCUGGAGGAAUACCGAUGGCGAAGGCAGCCAUCUGGCCUAACACUGACGCUGAGGUACGAAAGCAUGGGGAGCAAACAGGAUUAGAUACCCCCGUAGUCCCUGUCUCUUAUAA
rnacentral:rRNA from 1 species